CAAUUGUUAGAAAGCAUGGUGGGGAAAACUUUACCCCAUACCUUCUCUUUAUCCCUCUACUCCUAUAAAUUAAUAAGUUGGAUCAAAAUAUUCCUGUAUAAAUACCUAUAUUUUAAAAAUUUUCACUUUUCCCCUCAUUUCAGAGAGUGCGAGAAAAAAUUGUCGUUUCCAUUUCUACACCAGAGAACCCCGCGUGAAGACAUUCAGUUCAUCAGUUUUUCAUCACCGGAUAACUUAAGAUGGCUCGCAUUAGAGCCUGAGAGGGGAGCAUUUAUCGACGAUAUGGUGAUGGACGACAAUCUCAACAGUUGACGGAUCGAGAGGAAGAUCAGGUAGGUGCACCUGAGUCUCGUCCACUAUAUCCAGCGUUCCCCUGAGGACCGUCUGAUACGUCUUUUCUGGAGAGAGUUCCGAAGAAAGAAUUGAAGAUUGUUGCACAUGGUAGAAAAUUGAUCAUAUGGGUUUCGCACAGCCUCCCACCGAUGAUAGAGAGACGGUUAUCUGAUUUUGAUUUAUCCUCUCUACAAAGAACUAGUUUAUCGAGGAUAGAUCAUAAUUUAGUAUCAGCUUUUGUGGAGAGAUGGCAUCCAGAAACAUCGUCCUUUCAUAUGUCGUUAGGCGAGAUGACCAUUACAUUGGAUGAUGUUUCUUGUCUUCUUCAUAUAUCGUGUAAGGGAGAUUUUUGUAAUGGACAGUCAUAUUUUUUUAUAGCACUUUGUGUUUCACUAUCUCCUUCUUUGUAUU